UGCUUUUAAAAUGAGAGAUGAUUAAAAAAAAAAGUAUACACAAGAAGAAAAAUAACUAACUGCCCUGGAUUGCAAAGACUGGGGUGGACCUCUUUCUUAAUGUCUAGUGUCCUGUAUCAUAGGAUUUAGUGCAAUGAAU